CAGUAGCCGCGGUAAUACAGAGGGUGCGAGCGUUAAUCGGAUUUACUGGGCGUAAAGCGUGCGUAGGCGGCUUUUUAAGUCGGAUGUGAAAUCCCUGAGCUUAACUUAGGAAUUGCAUUCGAUACUGGGAAGCUAGAGUAUGGGAGAGGAUGGUAGAAUUCCAGGUGUAGCGGUGAAAUGCGUAGAGAUCUGGAGGAAUACCGAUGGCGAAGGCAGCCAUCUGGCCUAAUACUGACGCUGAGGUACGAAAGCAUGGGGAGCAAACAGGAUUAGAUACCCCCGUAGUCCAUGUCUCUUAUAC
rnacentral:rRNA from 1 species